rnacentral:rRNA from 1 species
UACAGAGGGUGCAAGCGUUAAUCGGAAUUACUGGGCGUAAAGCGUGCGUAGACGGUUAUGUAAGUCAGAUGUGAAAGCCCCCGGGCUUAACCUGGGAAUGGCAUUUGAGACUGCAUAGCUAGGGUGCGGAAGAGGGAAGCGGAAUUUCCGGUGUAGCGGUGAAAUGCGUAGAUAUCGGAAGGAACACCAGUGGCGAAAAGCGGCUUCCUGGUCCAGCACCGACGUCAGGCACGAAAGCGUGGGGAGCAAACAGG